GUAGCUUCUCGCCUUUUGGCAAGAUAAAGUGUAUAUCUGUUCUGAUCAGUUAAAUCUGAUACGAUCCCCAGGGGGAUCUACAAUAUUAAAAUUUUUUUGGAAAAAUGGCAAAGGGUAGGGGCUUGCCCAACUUUGCGCAAAUCGGCCCUUUUUGCAGUGCCCCCUGGUUUGGGGUUUCCCUCCC